CUUUAGAAAAAUCAAGAACCAGAUGUUUAAACCCUAGAAUCAAACCCAUCAUUUAAACAACCACUAUCCACACAACCAAAUUUUAACUUACUGAAUCCUCUAGCAUCGUUUACUUCUUCAACUUUCGAAUCUCCUUCUAAUGACAAAUCCAAACCAAAUCUUAGAUCUCCUUCAAACCUACAAGAAAAUCAAUGGGAUAGUCGUUUAAAACAACUGACCAGAUUGACCUCUUAAAAGAGCAACACAAGAUUCUAUCCGAGGAGAUGGCAUUCCAUUUAAGCGCUCUAAAACGAUUGUCACUCCAAAAGACUCUGAACGCGAAUUUGUAAAUGCCGAGAUUGCUAGAUUGUAGGAACAAAUCAAACUGAAGAAUGAUGAAAUCAAACAGCUAGAAGACAAAAUUGCUAGCUCUGUUGUAUCUUCUCAUCGUAGUAUGGAUGGAGUUGAACAAAUGCGAGUAAGUGCUACCACUUUCCUGAUCUUCUCCCCAAUAACUCCAAUCUCACCUCUUCAACCCCCAAAAGUCUCAAAUUUGAAACCCUCGUUCACCCUCUUCAACCCUUGAAACCGUCAACAAUUAGACCUGUGUCAACAAGUUUUGAAUGAAGAAAUCAGAGAUGAUGGUAGUAGAUUAUAGAGAUGCGACGAUGGUGGCGUUUCACUGGGUAUGAAGUUUGUGGCGGCGGUGGUUGUAGUUGAUGCGUAGAUCUGGUGCUUCAAUGGAUGUAUUUUUUUUUGUUUUAUUGGUGGUGAUUAAAUUAUUUUUGUUGA